UACGUAGGCAGCGAGCGUUGUUCGGAGUUACUGGGCGUAAAGAGUGCGUAGGCGGUUUUCUAAGUUUGGUGUGAAAGUCUCCCGGCUUAACUGGGAGGGUGCGCCGAAAACUGGAAGGCUUGAGUAUGGGAGAGGUAAGCGGAAUUCCUGGUGUAGCGGUGAAAUGCGUAGAUAUCAGGAGGAACACCUGCGGUGUAGACGGCUUACUGGACCAUAACUGACGCUGAGGCACGAAAGCGUGGGUAGCAAACAGG
rnacentral:rRNA from 1 species